rfam:Schistosoma mansoni strain Puerto Rico chromosome W, complete genome
GUACUACUGAGGAGCCCUACAAUAGGACGAAAUGGUCGUCCAGUAC